UACAGAGGCCUCAAGCGUUGUUCGGAUUCAUUGGGCGUAAAGGGUGCGUAGGUGGCUUGGUAAGUUGAAGGUGAAAUCUCGGGGCUUAACUCCGAAACUGCAUUCGAUACUGCCGUGCUUGAGGACUGGAGGGGAGACUGGAAUUUACGGUGUAGCGGUGAAAUGCGUAGAUAUCGUAAGGAAGACCAGUGGCGAAGGCGGGUCUCUGGACAGUUCCUGACGCUGAGGCACGAAGGCCAGGGGAGCAAACGGG
rnacentral:rRNA from 1 species